GUGCCAGCAGCCGCGGUAAUACGUAGGUCCCGAGCGUUGUCCGGAUUUAUUGGGCGUAAAGCGAGCGCAGGCGGUUAGAUAAGUCUGAAGUUAAAGGCUGUGGCUUAACCAUAGUACGCUUUGGAAACUGUUUAACUUGAGUGCAAGAGGGGAGAGUGGAAUUCCAUGUGUAGCGGUGAAAUGCGUAGAUAUAUGGAGGAACACCGGUGGCGAAAGCGGCUCUCUGGCUUGUAACUGACGCUGAGGCUCGAAAGCGUGGGGAGCAAACGGGAUUAGAUA
rnacentral:rRNA from 1 species